rnacentral:rRNA from 1 species
UACGGAGGAUGCGAGCGUUAUCCGGAUUUAUUGGGUUUAAAGGGUGCGUAGGCGGUCCGUUAAGUCAGCGGUAAAAUUGCGGGGCUCAACCCCGUCCAGCCGUUGAAACUGGGGAUCUAGAGUGUGCGAGAGGUAUGCGGAAUGCGUGGUGUAGCGGUGAAAUGCAUAGAUAUCGCGCAGAACUCCGAUUGCGAAGGCAGCAUGCCGGCUCCACACUGACGCUGAGGCGCGAAAGCGUGGGUAUCGAACAGG